AUAUUUAAUGGAAGGAGAAAAGUGAUCACGAAGCGGUUCUCCCGGGACGAGGCUCACCAUUGCCCCCGGGUUUUUGCUGACCCCUGCGUUAACCAAAUGUGGUUAACUCGAGUGCCAAUUUUUGUUAGCGGGGGGACUGCUUUUCGCCUCCCCCCC